rnacentral:rRNA from 1 species
AGUGAACGCUGGCGGUAGGCCUAACACAUGCGAGUCGAACGGCAGCACAGUAAGAGCUUGCUCUUACGGGUGGCGAGUGGCGGACGGGUGAGGAAUACAUCGGAAUCUACUUUUUCGUGGGGGAUAACGUAGGGAAACUUACGCUAAUACCGCAUACGACCUACGGGUGAAAGCAGGGGAUCUUCGGACCUUGCGCGAUUGAAUGAGCCGAUGUCGGAUUAGCUAGUUGGCGGGGUAAAGGCCCACCAAGGCGACGAUCCGUAGCUGGACUGAGUGGAUGGUCAGCCACACUGGAACGGGGACACGGUCCAGACUCCUACGGGAGGCAGCAGUGUGGAAUAUUGGACAAUGGGCGCGAGCCUGAUCCAGCCAUAGCGCGUGUGUGAAGAAGGCCUUCGGGUUGGGAAGCCCUUUUGUUGGGAAAGAAAAGCAGCAGGUUAAUACCCCGCUGUUCUGACGGUACCCAAAGAAUAAGCACCGGCUAACUUCGUG